rnacentral:tRNA from 1 species
CCGACCUUAGCUCAGUUGGUAGAGCGGAGGACUGUAGAUCCUUAGGUCGCUGGUUCGAAUUCGGCAGGUCGGA